GGCGAGCUGCUGGCCUAGAUAGACUCGUCUCCUCCUCCUUAACAUGCAUGUGGGAGUUGUUUACCGCGAUUUGGCCGGAAAUGUGGAGAUCGAAGCCAACAUUUUUAUUGUAGCAAAAUGGUCAACGCCGAUUUCCCGUCACCUUCGGCCACAAACCCAGGUCCAUUAGAAGCGGCUUGAGUCACUCUUCACGCUCUCCAAACCUCUUGCAACGAUUCGAAGCGUGGAGGAAGAAAGCAUAAUUAGAAGAUCUUACUGUUCACUCGGGUUCAACCUUCUCCUUAAUUGUUGAGGUAUUUCUACUC
rnacentral:lncRNA from 1 species